ensembl:lncRNA
AUGCUCCAGAAUCGCUCAAGUGAGAGAAGCCCCUUUCUCUCCCCCCGACCCACUGACCACACUCUCAAACCUGCGAUCGGUUGCUCAGGAGAGCCAGCAAAUUCCCCAACAGAAGCUGCCAACAAACAGACGUCUGGAGUCCCUCGGGGGGUCCGAAUGUCCACCCUCACUCCCAACCCCACCCCCCAUCAGGACCUGAAUCUGACUGGCUAAUUGAGGAUCUUUGUGCAAAAUCGGAGGGCAGUGGGCCUGUUUGCUUCUGGGAAGAGCCAUUUGUCCAUCACGUCCAACAACUGCAUGUUGAGCUACACAUCAUGUCCGCUUGGUAACCACCCAACAGAUGCAGAGGCCAAGUGCGGUAAUGAAAUAAUACAGCCAGACAUCAUGUCCAUGGUUUCCAUUAUUGUUAAAGAUUUUGGUUGCCCAAUAGCACCACUUAGGUAAUUUGUUUCUGUGUAUAAUCCUGUUGGCUGCAAUUAAAUUAAACUAACUGGUCAUUUGGGUUUGGGGGCCUAUAAAUAAAUCCUGUUGCCAUGAGGCAUGGGCAGUAUGUGUUGUGUCUGAUUUGAUAAAGGGGGAAGCACUUUGUAAUUUCAUCUAAAAAAAUGUGACCUCGCUGGGUCGGCCACCAUCAGAUGAUCCCAAAUAAUGGCUAAAGUAGUUAAUUACUGUCACUAAUGUAUACACAGUCUCACUCAUAUCCAUAACCAGUGAUUAAUUUUUUUUCUUUCUUUUUUUUCUCUAAUACUAGAAAAGCUAAAUCAUAAUCAGGCACAUUUUCAGAUUUAAUCACAAGUUUAGGAUUAUUAUUCCUAUAUGAGAUGUUUGGUAAUCAUUGAAAUUGCCUCUCAUCCAUAUAAAUGUUGGCCGUGUAGUUUGGUGUGAGUUGGGCCAGAUGAGAUUGAGUUGUGCUCUGGCAUGAAGCCAGAUGGAAGAAGAAGGCCCAGCAGCACUGCUGCCUCUCUCUCUCUCUCUCUCUCUCUCUCUCUCUCUCUCUCUCAGAACUCUUUGUGAUGGAAGUAUUAGGCAAUUUAUGCUGAAUUAACACCUGGGGGACUAUGUACGUGUGCACACCAUGGUAUGCUUGAUGGUAUGCUUGAACGCUUAUCCUGGGUUUUAUCAAAGUCACAUUUUAGCAGUUACACCAUCAAGGUGCAACUGAAUACUGCAUUAAUUGAAUAGUACUAUUUUGCAUAUAAAUAUCUAUGUGGGUGUUUAUGCAAUAAAUUAAAUAGGUGUUUCUCAACUCCAGGCACUUCAUGUCCCUGGGGUUUAUUUUUAUUGAAGGUUUUUUUUUUCAUCAUUUUCAAAACUGUAGUUUGUCAAAUAAUGCAAAAUUCUAAAUACAUGUGUAUGUUAAGUGUGUGCAUUUAUAGGUUACAUGAAAUGUUAGAUUUUUAAUUAGCCUUCAUUUAGG